UUUCCGUAGGUGAACCUGCGGAAGGAUCAUUAUCAUGUAAUUCAGUCCCCUUGGCUGUGUUAUAUAUAUACCCACUCUGUGUACCUUCUCCUGUUGCUUCCGCUGGGUGUGUAAUUCGCCCGGCGGAAGGGUAAAAAUAACCUCUGAGUAUUGAUGAAAUCUCUGUCUGAACCGAAUAGAAAGAAAAAUGUUACAACUUUCAACAACGGAUCUCUUGGCUCUC
rnacentral:misc_RNA from 1 species